CAUUCCACAUCUUCAGCGCCAUCUCCCACAUUAUUGGGGCUUCGGGUUGGUGCUUUUAGCGCAGAAGUCUCUUCUUCUAUUUCGCUCCUCGAUAUCUUCUUCGAUAGACUUCAUCAACGAUGAAGUCUUCUCCGGCAUCGUAGUCGUGAUCAGUGUUGGACGGAUAUUGUUAUACCCCUUUCCAGAUUACCCUCUUAAUCUAGGAAGGGAUGUGAAAAUUGCAAAUGUCAACCCAUUUUAUGACAUCUACUGACCACCUGUUUCCCGUUAAACAUGUUUACAACAUGCAACCAACUCAUUUCUUAAGCCGUUAGGCAUUCAAAAAACUUCUUACAUACUUUGGCUUAAUAUUCAUAAAUAUUUACAGACAUAUAUGUACAUCUAAAAGGUUCCUCUCA